GGUUCCAUCGUCUAGUGGUUAGGACGCUCGGUUUUGAGAGAUGUUCGCUCAAUUCCCCUUCCGAGCAGCUUGGGUUCAAUCCCCAAUGGGACCU
rnacentral:tRNA from 1 species